AUUGAACGCUGGCGGCGUGCUUAACACAUGCAAGUCGUGCGGUAACAGGCGUAGCAAUACGUGCUGACGAGCGGCGAACGGGUGCGUAAUACAUGGGAAUCUGCCCUUUAGUGGGGAAUAACCCGGCGAAAGCCGGGCUAAUGCCGCAUAAGAUCUUCGGAUGAAAGCGGGAGAUCGUAAGACCUCGCGCUGAUGGAUGAGCCCAUGUCGGAUUAGCAGUUGGUGAGGUAACGGCUCACCAAGGCGACGAUCCGUAGCUGGUCUGAGAGGACGGCCAGCCACACUGGGACUGAGACACGGCCCAGACUCCUACGGGAGGCAGCAGUGGGGAAUAUUGGACAAUGGGCGAAAGCCUGAUCCAGCGACGCCGCGUGUGUGAAGAAGGCCUGCGGGUUGUAAAGCACUUUCAGCUCCGACGAAGCGAGAGUGACGGUAGGAGCAGAAGAAGCACCGGCCAACUACGUGCCAG
rnacentral:rRNA from 1 species